UACAGAAAGGGUCAACGAGAUUCAGGAAUUUUCUGCAAGUUCAAGUCAUCAAAAUUUUGGUGGAUUCCCAUUAUCAAUGAGCAUGACUAGUUUACUUUUGGCACAACAAUCGCAGAACUCUAACCCUUUGCAAAUAGAUGACUCGCAGCAAAUCAUUAAUGAAAAUAAAUGAGUUGUUGCUGAAAUGGUGGAUGGCAUAUUGGAUGGUUGCUGAUGUUGGAUUCUGCUACUUUGAUGAAUUUGUUGUCCAGAUUUUUAUGUUGCGUUGUUGUCUAGAUUUUUGUCCAGAUUAGACUACAUUGCAUCGAAUCCCAAUAUUCUUACUGUCAUGUUGGUUUUGGUCCACUUCAACACUCAUACGCCUUGUUUCCUAAUUCUUACAAAAUUAUUUU